rnacentral:lncRNA from 1 species
CAGUUCUCAGCAGUUUUUUUACUGGCAAUUAGCUCCGCUUUUUUCUGCCCAUCUUCCUCACAUGUCACAACUCCUACAAAAUAGGGUUGUGGUUCAAUUCAGUUGCUGACUGGUUUUAUAAAAUGUAGACGCCUACUUCCAAAAAUUCGCACCUACAGUUGAAGUAGAGUUGUGGAAGCAUUCGAUCAUUGAUUGAACAGAAGAUGGAUAAAAUUUCGCACGAGAUUUUCUCACACAUUGAAAACCCUAAAGUGUAGACAUAAACAGAUUAUUCGUCAAGCCUCAUCUGGUGGUUGUUCAGUCCCCCAUCUGCAGAUACAGGCAGAGAAUCACCCAUUUGAUUUACACCCAAAUUGGAAAAACUAGGCUUCAUGCGUGUUCAUACAACAAUCAUUACUGCUUCGCUGAUCCUUCUCUAUCUCAGUUUGGCAAGAUGUUUCAUCCAAUUGCUGUUGAAGAUGUGAAGAUGCUAAAUGAGAAGUUAAAUCUUACAAGUUACAAGCUUAAAUGGUCACUAGAAUGUGGUUAAAUUCUCUAAUGCAUUUUAAAGAUGAUUCAUUUUUAUAUACUGUCAUGGAAAGUCGACUUAAAGGCUGUGUUUCAUGUUAUGUGAGGGCGAUGAGUUGCUGGAACGGAUUCUGUCAAGCGGGUAUAGCUACCUAGUGAUACGAGGUGGAGUACAAGAGGCGUUUUUAUGGAGCAUGGCUCUGAGAUUUUAUCUUAUUCAAAACC